rnacentral:rRNA from 1 species
GAUGAACGCUGGCGGCGUGCGUAAUACAUGCAAGUCGAACGGAGCCCGCGCUUUCGGGCGGGGGUUCAGUGGCGGACGGGUGAGUAACACGUAGGGAGCUAGCCCUUGGGGGGGGAUAACGCCGGGAAACCGGCGCUAAGCCCGCGUACGCUGGCAGGGGGCGACCCGUGCCAGGAAAGCUUCAGGCGACUGGAGCGCCGAGGGGGGCGCCUGCGGCCCAUUAGCUGGUUGGUGGGGUCACGGCCUACCAAGGCGAUGAUGGGUAGCCGGUCUGAGA